rnacentral:rRNA from 1 species
AUGAAUAUUGCCCUCCUCUCCCGAUGGCUGUGGCGCAUCUCGCAGGGCCACGGGGGCCUCUGGCUGGACAUUAUCCGGAAUAAAUACCUGCGCGGCCAACCCCUUGCCUUCUGCCAGAAGUCGGGUGGCUCUCAGUUCUGGCAGUCCCUUGUCCAGCUCCUCCCUGUGCUCCGCAUUGGUACCUCUAUCUCGGUAGGAUCUGGCCGUUCGACGUUAUUCUGGUAUGACCGUUGGGCCGGUGACGCCCCCUUUGCGGCUCGCUUCCCCAUUCUCUUUGCUAUCUCUGUCGCCCCCAUGAUCUCUGUUGAUAGGGCCCUAUUUGACUUAGGGCGCCUCGCUUUCCGUCGGCCAUUUGGGCCUGCGGAAUCCGCCGCCUGGCGUGAGCUUCUUGAGUGCGUCGCUCUUCAUGAGCCGCUGGUUGACGGCGUCCAAGACCGUGUUCGAUGGCAUUUGGAGCCGUCUGGCCAGUUCUCUACCAAAUCGCUCUAUGCGUCCAUUGCCCCCUCCGCCGCCCCUCCCCCCCUCUCAAUGGUUUGGUCCGUCCGCCUCCCUCUGAAGAUCCGUAUCUUCAUGUGGCAGUGGAUCCGGGGACGGAUCCCCUCCGGUGUGGAGGUCCGCAAGCGUAAUGGCCCGGGUUCUGGUCUCUGCCCCCUCUGUGCCGUCCCCGAGGACUCUAACCACAUCUUCUUCGCUUGCACCUCUGCCCAGUUCCUCUGGAGCUGUUUUCGCGAGCUUGUCGGCGGAAAUUGGACUCACACCAACUUCCCCGACCUUUUUGCUGAACUCCAAGCGUCCCCCCCCCCCGUCCUCCCGCCACAUUAG